rnacentral:rRNA from 1 species
CGAGCGGACAGAUGGGAGCUUGCUCCCUGAUGUUAGCGGCGGACGGGUGAGUAACACGUGGGUAACCUGCCUGUAAGACUGGGAUAACUCCGGGAAACCGGGGCUAAUACCGGAUGGUUGUUUGAACCGCAUGGUUCAAACAUAAAAGGUGGCUUCGGCUACCACUUACAGAUGGACCCGCGGCGCAUUAGCUAGUUGGUGAGGUAACGGCUCACCAAGGCAACGAUGCGUACCCGACCUGAGAGGGUGAUCGGCCACACUGGGACUGAGACACGGCCCAGACUCCUACGGGAGGCAGCAGUAGGGAAUCUUCCGCAAUGGACGAAAGUCUGACGGAGCAACGCCGCGUGAGUGAUGAAGGUUUUCGGAUCGUAAAGCUCUGUUGUUAGGGAAGAACAAGUACCGUUCGAAUAGGGCGGUACCUUGACGGUACCUAACCAGAAAGCCACGGCUAACUACGUGCCAGCAGCCGCGGUAAUACGUAGGUGGCAAGCGUUGUCCGGAAUUAUUGGGCGUAAAGGGCUCGCAGGCGGUUUCUUAAGUCUGAUGUGAAAGCCCCCGGCUCAACCGGGGAGGGUCAUUGGAAACUGGGGAACUUGAGUGCAGAAGAGGAGAGUGAAUUCCACGUGUAGCGGUGAAAUGCGUAGAGAUGUGGAGGAACACCAGUGGCGAAGGCGACUCUCUGGUCUGUAACUGACGCUGAGGAGCGAAAGCGUGGGGAGCGAACAGGAUUA